rnacentral:misc_RNA from 1 species
AAAAAAAGGGGCGGUUUGACCCGCCCACAUUUUUUCCCUAAUCCCUUUAAUCCUAUUCAUCGUCCUGAUGAAUCGCGUCCUGCGAUUCCUCU